GCCGGGCAUGGUGGUGCAUGCCUGUAAUCCGAGCAGCUUGAGAGGCUGAGACAGGAGGAUCAUGAGUUCAAAGUUCAAAGCCAGUCUCAGCAAUUUAGCAAAGCCCUAAGCAAUUCAGUGAGACCCUGUGUCUA
rnacentral:sRNA from 1 species